AUACGGAGGGGGUUAGCGUUGUUCGGAAUUACUGGGCGUAAAGCGCACGUAGGCGGACUGGAAAGUUGGGGGUGAAAUCCCGGGGCUCAACCCCGGAACUGCCUCCAAAACUUCCAAUCUAGAGAUCGAGAGAGGUCGGUGGAAUUCCAAGUGUAGAGGUGAAAUUCGUAGAUAUUUGGAGGAACACCAGUGGCGAAGGCGGCUCACUGGCUCGAUUCUGACGCUGAGGUGCGAAAGCGUGGGGAGCAAACAGGAUUAGAAACCCUUGUAGUCC
rnacentral:rRNA from 1 species